rnacentral:rRNA from 1 species
CCUACGGGAGGCUGCAGUGAGGAAUAUUGGUCAAUGGACGAGAGUCUGAACCAGCCAAGUAGCGUGAAGGAUGACUGCCCUAUGGGUUGUAAACUUCUUUUAUAUGGGAAUAAAAUGUUCCACGUGUGGGCUUUUGUAUGUACCCUAUGAAUAAGGAUCGGCUAACUCCGUUCCAGCAGCCGCGGUAAUACGGAGGAUCCGAGCGUUAUCCGGAUUUAUUGGGUUUAAAGGGAGCGUAGGUGGAUUGUUAAGUCAGUUGUGAAAGUUUGCGGCGCAACCGUAAAAUUGCAGUUGAAACUGGGAGUCUUGAGUACAGUAGAGGCGGGCGGAAUGCGUGGUGUAGCGGUGAAAUGCUUAGAUAUCACGAAGAACCCCGAUUGCGAAGGCAGCUCACUGGACUGCAACUGACACUGAGGCUCGAAAGCGUGGGUAUCAAACAGGAUUAGAUACCCGAGUAGUC